rnacentral:snRNA from 1 species
GUGUUUGCUUUGGCUGCACAGGUAUUAAAAUUGGAAUGAUACAGAGAAGAUUACCAUGGCCCCUGGUCAGGGAUGACAUGCAAAUUCAGUGUGCCAUAUUUUA